CAACAAUGGUGGCACGAGAAGCAAAUACACAGAGAAAGCAAAGCAAACACUCAAUUUAAUCAAAGCAAAGCAAACAGAGACGCAAAAUCAAUAUAUAAAGUCGAAGGUAGCAGCGGUACCUGGAAUGCAGCGGUGGAGAGUUGNAGUGGCGGCGUGAAUUGCAGUGGCGNCGUUCGGAAUGCAGCGGUGGAGAGUUGCAGUGCUAGCGUAAUGACGGAAGAAAGGUCCGAACAAAUCGCGGCGGAGACAGAGACGAACGUUUUCAGGUCCCAACAAAUCGCGGCGGAUGGAGACGAAAGGCUUGCAGCGUAGCAAUGGCAGGGGUGCAGCGAAGGAGAAGAAUGCGAAAUCGUAUUCAGAAGCGUGAAGAAGAUGAAACUGUUCAAUAUUUUUUUAACUAUCAGAAAGAGAAUCUGCCGCGGUUCUACACUUAACCGCGGCAUAAAGGGGGAAUAGGCCGCGGUUCUCUGGCCAACCGCGGCCUAUUCAUUUUAAAAAAAUAAUAUGAAAUGACAUUUUUGAAAUUUUUUGUAGCUUAUAUGCCGCGGUUCAGCGCCCAACCGCGGCAUAUACCCUGUAAAUCUUAAAAUUUACUGAGACAAGGGUAUAGGCCGCGGUUCUCUGGCCAACCGCGGCCUAUUACCCAACGUUCAGAAUUCUCCAACUGCCUCCAACUGCCUUAUGGGGAAUGUCAGUAGGGGGAAUAGGCUGCGGUUCUCUGACCAACCGCGGCCUAU
rnacentral:lncRNA from 1 species